AUCUGUUUAUGCUUUGCAACUGAUUCAAGUUCUGAGCAUAAAAAAUGAGACUUGGUAGAGAAAUUGUGAUCCCCAGAAGACUAUUAGAAAGAAGGUUCCCUUUAGUUUCUUUUUUUCUUCUUCUUUUAAUAAUAAUGUCAAUUUAGUUCUUGUGAUAUAUUUUAUUGGUCAGGACUGAAGUAUACCGAUACCGUAUUACCAUGGAAAUGAAUGAAGAUUAUUAUUCACCUUGCCGACAUGAUAACAGUAAUGUCUAUUUCGUCGGCCUGCUGUUCUUUGCCAAUUUACGUUGACUCGCUGUCAUUUUAUAUGUAUAUGGUUACAAUUAUCUACGCUCUCAAUGUGCCUAUGAUGUAGCACCUGGCGGACUGUUAGCUAGUGUGUAUCAUCUUACGAGAAUAGAGUAUGGUGUUACGAGAAUAGAAUAUGGUGCAUACCAACCGGAAGAGGUCUGCAUAAAAGUAUUUGCCUCAA